UGCCACGCGAAGCCCUGCCCCACCUCGCCGCUGACAAGAACGGUCUGAAGCAAUCCACUCCAGCUGACGAGAAUGGUGCCAGCAUGGGGGUUACUCUCGGUCCUCAGGCAGGUGGUGUGUGUGGAAUCCAUGAGUCACAAUGGUUCUGCCGUCCAGCUGCGCCUCACAGUGGUACACAGCUGCGCCCUCCUCCACAGGCAGCACCGCCCGCACCUAUAAGAGAGAGAGAGAGGCGCCAGGCAGGGGAGGAAAGAAUGAAGUAAAGAAAGAAAGGACAAAACACACGCCUCUUUUUUCUUCUUUUUUCAUGUUUAACUCCUUCUCCUCUUUUUCCUUCUGCGUUAGCAAAGGAAAUUAUCAAAUAAGGAAAGGAGGAAUGAAAUGUGAAGAAAGAGGGGAGGAAGC